UCCAACCGAUGUGCCUCAAACCGGUUUCAUUAGAAAGGCAAUAAUGCGAGGAUGGUUUUUAGACCAAUAAAAAGAUGCAUUAGUCAAAUUUUUUUAGCGUAGUAGCACACGCCGGGUAUCUAAGCAUUAAUAUAUAUUAGGAGUUUUUGGUCAUAGA